CAUAUGGAUGGAGCUGUCCUGGUUAGAUUAGUAGGUUCUGGUGUUUAAUAACAGAUGGACGGUGCUGUGCUGGUUAGAUUAGUAGGUUCUGGUGUUUAAUAACAGAUGGAUGGAGGUGUGUUGGUUAGAUUAGUAGAUUCUGGGGUUUAAUAACAGAUGGAUGGAGCUGUGCUGGUAAGAUUAGUAGGUUCUGGGGUUUAAUAACAGAUGGACGGUGCUGUGCUGGUUAGAUUAGUAGAUUCUGGGGUUUAAUAACAGAUGGAUGGAGCUGUGCUGGUUAGAUUAGUAGAUUCUGGGGCUUAAUAACAGAUGGAUGGUGCUGUGCUGGUUAGAUUAGUAGGUUCUGAGGUUUAAUAACAGAUGGAUGGUGCUGUGCUGGUUAGAUUAGUAGGUUCUGGGGUUUAAUAACAGAUGGGUGGAGCUGUGCUGGUUAGAUUAGUAGGUUCUGGGGUUUAAUAACAGAUGGAUGGUGCUGUGCUGGUUAGAUUAGUAGGUUCUGGUGUUUAAUAACAGAUGGAUGGAGCUGUCCUGGUUAGAUUAGUAGGUUCUGGUGUUUAAUAACAGAUGGACGGUGCUGUGCUGGUUAGAUUAGUAGGUUCUGGUGUUUAAUAACAGAUGGAUGGAGGUGUGUUGGUUAGAUUAGUAGAUUCUGGGGUUUAAUAACAGAUGGAUGGAGCUGUGCUGGUAAGAUUAGUAGGUUCUGGGGUUUAAUAACAGAUGGACGGUGCUGUGCUGGUUAGAUUAGUAGAUUCUGGGGUUUAAUAACAGAUGGAUGGAGCUGUGCUGGUUAGAUUAGUAGAUUCUGGGGUUUAAUAACAGAUGGACGGUGCUGUGCUGGUUAGAUUAAUAGAUUCUGGGGUUUAAUAACAGAUGGAUGGAGCUGUGGUGGUUAGAUUAGUAGGUUCUGGUGUUUAAUAACAGAUGGACGGUGCUGUGCUGGUUAGAUUAUUAGGUUCUGGUGUUUAAUAACAGAUGGACGGUGCUGUGCUGGUUAGAUUAGUAGGUUCUAGUGUUUAAUAACAGAUGGAUGGAGGUGUGCUGGUUAGAUUAGUAGGUUCUGGGGUUUAAUAACAGAUGGAUGGUGUUGUGCUGGUUAGAUUAGUAGGUUCUGGGGUUUAAUAACAGAUGGAUGGAGCUGUGCUGGUUAGAUUAGUAGGUUCUGGGGUUUAAUAACAGAUGGAUGGAGCUGUGCUGGUUAGAUUAGUAGGUGCUGGGGUUUAAUAACGGAUGAAUGGAGCUGUGCUGGUUAGAUUAGUAGGUUUUGGGGUUUGAUAACAGAUGCACGGUGCUGUGCUGGUUAGAUUAGUAGGUUCUGGUGUUUAAUAACAGAUGGACGGUGCUGUGCCGGUUAGAUUAGUAGGUUCUGGGGUUUGAUAACCGAUGGAUGGUGCUGUGCUGGUUAGAUUAGUAGAUUCUGGGGUUUAAUAACAGAUGGACAGUGCUGUGCUGGUUAGAUUAGUAGAUUCUGGGGUUUAAUAACAGAUGGAUGGAGCUGUGCUGGUUAGAUUACUAGGUUCUGGGGUUUGAUAACAGAUGGAUGGUGCCGUGCUGGUUAGAUUAGUAGGUUCUGAGGUUUAAUAACAGAUGGAUGGUGCUGUGCUGGUUAGAUUAGUAGGUUCUGGGGUUUAAUAACAGAUGGGUGGAGCUGUGCUGGUUAGAUUAGUAGGUUCUGGGGUUUAAUAACAGAUGCAUGGUGCUGUGCUGGUUAGAUUAGUAGGUUCUGGUGUUUAAUAACAGAUGGAUGGAGCUGUCCUGGUUAGAUUAGUAGGUUCUGGUGUUUAAUAACAGAUGGACGGUGCUGUGCUGGUUAGAUUAGUAGGUUCUGGUGUUUAAUAACAGAUGGAUGGAGGUGUGUUGGUUAGAUUAGUAGAUUCUGGGGUUUAAUAACAGAUGGAUGGAGCUGUGCUGGUAAGAUUAGUAGGUUCUGGGGUUUAAUAACAGAUGGACGGUGCUGUGCUGGUUAGAUUAGUAGAUUCUGGGGUUUAAUAACAGAUGGAUGGAGCUGUGCUGGUUAGAUUAGUAGAUUCUGGGGUUUAAUAACAGAUGGACUGUGCUGUGCUGGUUAAAUUAAUAGAUUCUGGGGUUUAAUAACAGAUGGAUGGAGCUGUGCUGGUUAGAUUAAUAGGUUCUGGUGUUUAAUAACAGAUGGACGGUGCUGUGCUGGUUAGAUUAUUAGGUACUGGUGUUUAAUAACAGAUGGACGGUGCUGUGCUGGUUAGAUUAGUAGGUUCUAGUGUUUAAUAACAGAUGGAUGGAGGUGUGCUGGUUAGAUUAGUAGAUUCUGGGGUUUAAUAACAGAAGGAAUGGAGCUGUGCUGGUUAGAUUAGUAGGUUCUGGGGUUUGAUAACAGAUGGAUGGUGCUGUGCUGGUUAGAUUAGUAGGUUCUGAGGUUUAAUAACAGAUGGAUGGUGCUGUGCUGGUUAGAUUAGUAGGUUCUGGGGUUUAAUAACAUGGAUGGCGCUGUGCUGGUUACAUUAGUAGGUUCUGGGGUUUAGUAACAGAUGCAUGGUGCUGUGCAGGUUAGAUUAGUAGGUUCUGUGGUUUAAUAACAGAUGGAUGGAGCUGUGUUGGUUAGAUUAGUAGAUUCUGUGGUUUAAUAACAGAUGGAGGGAGCUGUGUUGGUUAGAUUAGUAGGUUCUGGGGUUUAAUAACAGAUGAAUGGUGCUGUGCUGGUUAGAUUAGUAGAUUCUGGUGUUUAAUAACAGAUGGACGGUGCUGUGCUGGUUAGAAGGAACAGAAGGAAUGGAGCUGUUCUGGUUAGAUUAGUAGGUUCUGGGGUUUGAUAACAGAUGGAUGGUGCUGUGCUGGUUAGAUUAGUAGGUUCUGAGGUUUAAUAACAGAUGGAUGGUGCUGUGCUGGUUAGAUUAGUAGGUCCUGGGGUUUAAUAACAGAUGGAUGGAGCUGUGCUGGUUAGAUUAGUAGGUCCUGGGGUUUAAUAACAGAUGGAUGGAGCUGUGCUGGUUAGAUUAGUAGAUUCUGGGGUUUAAUAACGGAUGGAUGGUGCUGUGCUGGUUAGAUUAGUAGGUUCUGGGGUUUAAUAACAGAUGGAUGGAGCUGUGCUGUUAGAUUAGUAGGUUCUGGGGUUUAAUAACAGAUGGAUGGUGCUGUGUGGGCAGAUUAGUAGAUUCUGGGGUUUAAUAACAGAUGGAUGGAGCUGUGCUGGUUAGAUUAGUAGGUUCUGGGGUUUAAUAACAGAUGGAUGGAGCUGUGCUGGUUAGAUUAGUAGGUUCUGGGGUUUAAUAACAGAUGGAUGGAGCUGUGUUGGUUAGAUUAGUAGAUUCUGGCGUUUAAUAACAGAUGGAUGGCGCUUUGCUGGUUAGAUUAGUAGGUCCUGGGGUUUAAUAACAGAUGGAGGGAGCUGUGCUGGUUAGAUUAGUAGGUUCUGGGGUUUAAUAACAGAUGAAUGGUGCUGUGCUGGUUAGAUUAGUAGGUUCUGGUGUUUAUUAGAUGGAUGGUGCUGUGCUGGUUAGAUUAGUAGGUUCUGGUGUUUAAUAACAGAUGGAUGGAGCUGUGCUGGUUAGAUUAGUAGAUUCUGGGGUUUAGUAACAGAUGAAUGGAGCUGCGCUGGUUAGAUUAGUAGGUUCUGGGGUUUAAUAACAGAUGGAUGGAGCUGUACUGGUUAGAUUAGUCGAUUCUGGGGUUUAGUAACAGAUGAGUGGAGCUGUGCUGGUUAGAUUAGUAGGCUCUGGGGUUUAAUAACAGAUGGAUGGAGCUGUGUUGGUUAGAUUAGUAGAUUCUGGGGUUUAAUAACAGAUGGAGGGAGCUGUGUUGGUUAGAUUAGUAGGUUCUGGGGUUUAAUAACAGAUGAAUGGUGCUGUGCUGGUUAGAUUAGUAGAUUCUGGUGUUUAAUAACAGAUGGACGGUGCUGUGCUGGUUAGAAGGAACAGAAGGAAUGGAGCUGUGCUGGUUAGAUUAGUAGGUCCUGGGGUUUAAUAACAGAUGGAGGGAGCUGUGUUGGUUAGAUUAGUAGGUUCUGGGGUUUAAUAACAGAUGAAUGGUGCUGUGCUGGUUAGAUUAGGAGGUUCUGGUGUUUAUUAGAUGGAUGAUGCUGUGCUGUUUAGAUUAGUAGGUUCUGGUGUUUAAUAACAGAUGGAUGGUGCUGUGCUGGUUAGAUUAGUAGGUUCUGGGGUUUUAUAACAGAUGGAUGGUGUUGUGCUGGUUAGAUUAGUAGGUUCUGGGGUUUAAUAACCGAUGGAUGGAGGUGUGCUGGUUAGAUUAGUAGGUUCUGGGGUUUAAUAACAGAUGGAUGGCGCUGUGCUGGUUAGAUUAGUAGGUUCUGGUGUUUAAUAACAGAUGGAUUGUGCUGUGCUGGUUAGAUUAGUAGGUUCUGGGGUUUAUUAGAUGGAUGAUGCUGUGCUGGUUAGAUUAGUAGGUUCUGUUGUUUAAUAACAGAUGGAUGGAGCUUUGCUGGUUAGAUUAGUAGGUUCUGGGGAUUGAUAACAGAUGGAUGGUGCUGUGCUGGUUAGAUUAGUAGGUUCUGAGGUUUAAUAACGGAUGGAUGGUGCUGUGCUGGUUAGAUUAGUAGGUUCUGGAGUUUAAUAACAGAUGGAUGUAGCUGUGCUGUUAGAUUAGUAGGUUCUGGGGUUUAAUAACAGAUAGAUGGUGCUGUGUUGGUUAGAUUAGUAGAUUCUGGGGUUUAAUAACAGAUGGAUGGAACUGUGCAGGUUAGAUUAGUAGGUUCUGGGGUUUAAUAACAGAUGGACGGUGCUGUGCUGGUUAGAUUAGUAGGUUCUGGGGUUUAAUAACAGAUGAAUGGAGCUGUGCUUGUUCGAUUAGUAGGUUUUGGGGUUUAAUAACAGAUGGAUGGAGCUGUGCUGGUUAGAUUAGUAGGUUUUGGGGAUUGAUAACAGAUGGCUGGAGUUGUGCUGGUUAGAUUAGUAGGUUCUGGGGUUUAAUAACAGAUGGAUGGAGCUGUGCUGGUUAGAUUAGUAGGUUUUGGGGAUUGAUAACAGAUGGAUGGUGCUGUGCUGGUUAGAUUAGUAGGUCCUGGUGUUUAAUAACAGAUGGAUGGAGCUGUGCUGGUAAGAUUAGUAGGUUCUGGGGAUUUAUAACAGAUGGAUGGUGCUGUGCUGGUUAGAUUAGUAGGUUCUGAGGUUUAAUGACGGAUGGAUGGUGCUGUGCUGGUUAGAUUAGUAGGUUCUGGGGUUUAAUAACAGAUGAAUGGAGCUGUGCUUGUUAGAUUAGUAGGUUUUGGGGUUUAAUAACAGAUGGAUGGAGCUGUGCUGGUUAGAUUAGUAGGUUUUGGGGAUUGAUAACAGAUGGCUGGAGCUGUGCUGGUUAGAUUAGUAGGUUCUGGGGUUUAAUAACAGAUGGAUGGAGCUGUGCUGGUUAGAUUAGUAGGUUUUGGGGAUUGAUAACAGAUGGAUGGUGCUGUGCUGGUUAGAUUAGUAGGUCCUGGUGUUUAAUAACAGAUGGAUGGAGCUGUGCUGGUAAGAUUAGUAGGUUCUGGGGUUUAAUAACAGAUGGAUGGAGCUGUGCUGGUUAGAUUAGUAGGUUCUGGGGUUUAAUAACAGAUGGACGGUGCUGUGCUGGUUAGAUUAGUAGGUUCUCGGGUUUAAUAACAGAUGAAUGGAGCUGUGCUUGUUAGAUUAGUAGGUUUUGGGGUUUAAUAACAGAUGGAUGGAGCUGUGAUGGUUAGAUUAGUAGGUUCUGGGGUUUAAUAACAGAUGGAUGGAGCUGUGCUGGUUAGAUUAGUAGAUUCUGGGGUUUAAUAACAGAUGGAUGGUGUUGUGCUGGUUAGAUUAGUAGAUUCUGGUGUUUAAUAACAGAUGGACGGUGCUGUGCUGGUUAGAAGGAACAGAAGGAAUGGAGCUGUGCUGGUUAGAUUAGUAGGUUCUGGGGUUUGAUAACAGAUGGAUGGUGCUGUGCUGGUUAGAUUAGUAGGUUGUGGGGUUUGAUAACAGAUGGAUGGUGCUGUGCUGGUUAGAUUAGUAGGUUCUGAGGUUUAAUAACAAAUGGAUGGUGCUGUGCUGGUUAGAUUAGUAGAUUCUGGGGUAUAAUAACAGAUGGAUGGAGCUGUGCUUGUUAGAUUAGUAGAUUCUGGGGUUUAAUAACAGAUGGAUGGAGCUGUGCUGGUUAGAUUAGUAGAUUCUGGGGUUUAAUAACAGAUGUAUGGAGCUGUGCUGGUUAGCUUAGUAGGUUCUGGGGUUUAAUAACAGAUGUAUGGAGCUGUGCUGGUUAGAUUAGUAGGUUCUGGGGUUUAAUAACAGAUGGAUGGAGCUGUGCUGGUUAGAUUAGUAGGUUCUGGGGUUUAAUAACAGAUGGAUGGUGUUGUGCUGGUUAGAUUAGUAGGUUCUGGUGUUUAAUAACAGAUGGAUGGUGCUGUGCUGGUUAGAUUAGUAGGUUCUGGGGUUUAAUAACAGAUGGAUGGUGUUGUGCUGGUUAGAUUAGUAGGUUCUGGUGUUUAAUAACAGAUGGAUGGAGCUGUGCUGGUUAGAUUAGUAGGUUCUGGCGUCUGAUAACUAAUGCAUUACUUCUAACGAUGCACUGUUGUGAGAUGGCAAUAAUACACGAGAGGUAGUGUUGGGCGGUAUACCGGUUCAUAUGGUUUUCCGUGCGUCUCUGAAAAUGUACCUACGCAUUGUGGCGUACCGUACGCCGCAGCUUGAUGCGCACCUGUUUGAAAAAUGUAACUAUGCGUUGACUUUAAAAAAAAAAAAAAAAUUUAAAAGCCAUUUGACCAGUGGUAGGAUGAUCCCCCCCUUAAAUGUGAGUCUUGGUCCUCCCAAGGUUUCUUCCUCCUCCUGCAGCUCUGAGGGAGUUUUUUCUUGCCUUCGCGCUCACUGGGGGUUCUGUAUUCUGUAUUUUCUAGGUUUAAUGUUUUGCCUGAUUCUUUGUCCUGUGAUCAUGUUUCUGUAAAGCUGCUUUGUGACAACACCAGUUGUAAAAAGCGCUAUACAAAUAAAUUUGAUUUGAUUUGAAA